rnacentral:rRNA from 1 species
AUGAUCACCACUGCAAUUCCAUGGAUUUGGUGGAAAACACGAAAUAACGUGAAUGCAGAGGGAAAGAAACUGAACAUAGAUGAUGCACUGUUCCAAAUCCGAAGGGAGGCUGCAGAUUAUGAAGCUUUCUGUCUAAAAAGGCCAACGCAGAGGCUCGAUACUCAGCAAAUUUGGGUGCCGCCACAGGGCGAUUUUCUGAAAAUCAACACAGACGGCAGUUUUCGGAAGGACACACAGGAUGGAGGGUGGGGUUUCAUAGUCCGAGACAAGGAGGGGGAGGCUGUAGGAGCAGUGGCUGGUAUACUGAAGUUUAUUCAUGGCUCGCUUCAGGUGGAAGCAGAAGCUUGCAUACAUGCAUUACAGGCGGCACAAGGUUGGGCUAUGACCAACAUUAUUCUGGAAACAGACUCAAAGCAGCUGGUUCAGGCAAUCACCACCCAUGACUACGAUCUGUCCCCUAAUGGAGUGCUAUUCCGUGAGAUUAAAGCUUUUGCUAGACCGAAUUUUUCUUCCUUUUUUGUUUUCUACUGCCCAAGACUCUGUAAUAAGGUAGCUGACGCCCUCGCGGCGUUCGGUGCGAAGAUGGAUGCUAAUCCCCAAGCCGUAUGGCCGGGUGGCGCUCCUACCUUUGUACAGGAUUUGGUGGCCAGCGAUUAUGCUGUGUUGGUUGGGUAA